GGGGAAUAGAUGGCUAUUCAAGAAAGAUGAUGUACCUCAAGGUAGCAGACAACAACCGAUCUGAUACACACCUGGCAUUCUUCAAUGAAGCUGUGAAUGAGCAUGGGUUUCCUCUGAGAGUGAGAGGAGAUCACGGAGGAGAAAAUGUGGGGAUAGCGGAAUUAAUGUUCUCAGUUCGUGGAACUGACAUUAACAGCUUCA